CUGGAACGUUGUACGUAUGCGAAACAACGAUUGUGUCGCGAAACAAUAAGAAUAAGUUCUUAGGCGAGUUCAAAGGCAUGUCGACAACAAUAAGUUUGGACGAAUAGAGUGUACACAAUCGAACUUUCAUCUUCGCACGGGCAAUGCAUUUUCGCCUAUAUAACUAUGGGUCGUAUAGGACAACUUUCGUCACACGCGCCGAACGAGUUCCUUGUAAUUUCACUUAUGCUCCUUUCAAUUGAAAGGGGUAUCGACAAUGACGGUCUUGUCUUGCAUCAUCUAUGGCCCCGGUCUGUUCUAUCAGAUAGAAGUAAAGAAUAUUUUGAUCAAUGCUGAAAGGAACGCGAUCGUUGUCAUUCAGCUUAAAAAGUUUAUCUUCACGGUAAAAAAAGAAGGGAACGAAAUGACGGCUGCGACGUCGACUUUUCGUCGGUGUGAAAGAGCUUAUCAUCCUGGUUGUUAUUGGUUACCCCCACCCCGUACUAGGCAAAGAAGCGAUAUAACGCGAUAAUCAGAUUUAGCAGUUUUCGAACACCGAACUCGACACAAAAUUUUGUAAUCCUAAUGAAAUUAGGACAGCUUUACAACA